GGUAAGACUUUAAUGGUGAAUGUGAGGUGAAAAAACAGUAUGUUUCAGUUAAAACGUUUUUCCUUCUUCGACAACGAACAUCUAGUGGUUUCCUAGUCAACGAAAGAGCAUCAACCGAAUGUAAUCGUCAUAAUUGAAAGAAGAGAAGGGCAAAGACGAAAAGCGAGUAAAUAGAACGACAGAGCAAGAUGAGAUAGACAGAGACAGAUCGAAUAGAAUAUAUGCAAUUUGAUCCACUUGAUCCCAUUUUCGGGGAGCUCCACCAUUUGCUGCUGCUCUCACGUGGCAAGCCGGAGGCUUAUUGCAUCUCUCCAUGUGUGUAGUGAACGCAGUCGCAUCGUGUCUCCCCCCUUUCGGCGAAAAAUGGUCAAACUCGACUCGUUGACGUAUGGCGAUCAAACAACAGAAAAUGUAGUCGUCUCAAUGCACAGUCGCACGAACUGUGAUGCUGUGAUUUAAAAAAGAAAAAGAUCCAGGCGAGAACGGGACAGGAUGUUCAGGGUAUUACAAAGGAAGCGAUGCUGAAUGAAAGGAAAAGUUGUUCACGCUUUCAUUCGACAACGCUGAAAAUCAUUGAUGUAUAAUUGGGAUUCUGCCUUUUUUUUUAUUUGUACUCAAAGAAGUUGUGGCCCCGUGACUCCACCGGAAAGUGACAUCUUUUUUGCUCAAUCAUCAGCUGUGCCUCUUGUGGGUGAAAUAUAAUAAUGAUGCGGUCAGCAGCGUCUCAUAGAGGAAAACCUGCUUCAGUGGGCAACUCCUUGCACCGUAAACUGCCGGACGUUGGCCUGUAUUUAAGCGAUGACGGGGCAAAGACAAUCCCACGGUGCACUCUAAGAGAAUUUUCUCAACUCCAAUUGUGUGCGUGAAAGAAAUGUGGGUCGCCUUGAAUGUACGGGAACAAAGAAAAAGAUUAUUAACGAAACAAAAGGAAAACACUAGUGUAGCCGAAAUAAAUGUGAAGCAGACUACGCAGCCUUUCGUACACGUAGCCGCAGACAACGUGAACAGCUUCCGUGUAGCAGCCAUUCAGUGAGCGUUACCCCAAGGCAAAAGUAGCGAAGCUAUGUUAGUGAUGGUCUCCUAUAUACAAAGGAGACGAAAAUUGAAUCAGUCCCGGAUGCAAUUGCAGACCUCCGGGAGUAGAGAAGAAAGACGAGGUGGCCUCGGAACAAGAAAAGCAAUGAGACUUAUUGCACAGGCAGCUAGAAGAAAACUCGAAGAAUAGGAAAGUUACAAGGAAGACAGCGAGCAAUUUGCUUUUAUAUAUACACACGGUAGAUUCCUGCUAUACACGGAAGGGAAUUGCAUCGUAUGAAUUUCUUUGGUUAUAGCCCGUUGAAAGUCUUUUUCUACCGCAGUCACGUCUUCUGAAACCAAUCAAGUUACUGGCAUGCCACGAGAAAAGAAGAGAAAAAUAGAAAAAAGGACUUUCAUAAACGGAUCGAAGACAUCAACGAUCCAUAACGCUAUCCUCUUGCAGAUGGCUCCAAUUCGCCGAACAGUCAAGUGUAUAGAAGCCGGAAAAUGUGUAAGCUGACAAUCAGCGUAUGAUGAACGGGAUUCAUUAGUGCAGGAAUCAGCAGUUUGUGUUGUACCACAAAAGCCGACAUCGUAAACGGGAUCAUAACAAGAUAAUGGCAUCAAAUAAUUGCUCGAUGAAGCUUUCCUGUCACACAUAUACAAUUACACAUCCAACAAGCUGACACAGAGCUGCCAAUUUUGCUAAGUUAAAAGAAAAUUAUUUGCUCAAGAGACUUGACAAUCGUCUGCACUUGCAUCAUACGUCAGCGAAUCGUCUGCAAUUGGAUGAGCCGAAGGUCCCAACAACGAAACCUGAUGAUGAGUGUGUAUUUUGUUUUCUCCUCCGCUUCAUCCAUUCGUCGCGUCGUUGGCAACUCUGACAGGCGACGUUAUCUCAGGAUGAUGAUGCUACCCAUUUCGUUGACGGAGAUCCAGCCCUAGGGAUCUAUAAACCAUUUGGUUGGUUCGUGUCGUCGUGCAAUGACUUCAGCCAACUUUUUACGUGUGUACCUGGCCAAACGUCUUCCCACCAACUAGAUUCUUGAGUGGCUUGAAUACGUUCUUUUGAUAUAAUCAUGACAUCACUAAGACGCUGUUGGAACAACAGACGGAUCUUUUCACAUCAAACAUUGAUAGCCAAAUGCAGACGACUGCUGCUUGUGUCUGCAUACCACACAAGCAUAAAUAUGGAUGAUAUGCAACUCCCCAAGCCAAGAUCCUCUACUCUGCGUUACUUAAGCCGUGCACACACUCCGUGAUGAUGCACAUGUUUUUUAUCCCUUUCAGAUUUUUUUUUUGUUGGAAUGCUGUUGCGUUUCGCAGGAUUAAAUUCCAAUGCUCGCCAAACUGGAAGUCCAAGAAUUUUGGGAUUUCACCAAAGCCCUGCUUAAAAGGAUGGAACGGUCUCACGGCCGCCGGAUGAACUGUUUUCGGCUCUGCGUCAUCGGAGUCGAUUUUGCAAGAAAAAAACCUACGAUGUGGUUCAUGUGCCUAAGGAUAAAAUGGAAUCCUGUUCCGCUUUUCGAGGAAUUGUUCUUUUGUCGGUAACCUCUGCAUAACAGGAAAAAGAAAUGUGCACACUCUAUCGAAUUGUGAACGUGGGGACCCCAUCUGCAAAACGGGUUGUGCAACUCAUUUGAAUACCAAAUACGAACAAUAACAAUGAAGAUGCACUACACAUUAAUCUUGUGGAUAAUAGUUUGAUUGCAUGGAUCUAGUCCGUUUUCGCGAGACUUGUGUGAACGCCCGUCGUUGCCAUCGACCGCGCGACUUGGACAAAACGAAGAACAGAAAACAAGGAAAAGAUGACAGCAGGGUACUUCUUGCCCAAAAAGUCCCCAGUCACAAUUCGUGACAGAGAGAAACAAUCUCUGCAGCCCCACGGCUUCAAAUGAUGGACGGUCGUGCGAUCAAAGUUAUUCCUGUCGGGGAAUUUCGAGGGGCAAGAGAACAAGGGCCAUAUCUCUAAAUACUAAUGCACUUUCAUACGAUUCAAUGCGCUUAUUCGCCUCUGACUCUUUCCUUUUCUUAUGUUUUUAUCUUAAUCGUUCUACUGCCUCCCCGCAGGGAGUUGGCGAGAGAUCACAGCCACUAGAAACCCAAGUUGCUGCCCGGAUUGGAAGAGUUUACAGCUGCGCUACAGAGCCCCAUUUGGCUUGUCACGCUCUGUAUCAGACUCCGUUGUUGUUGAAUAGGGCCGCUCAACAACCCAAUUAGAGAAGACGGUACUGUUCGUACAUGUAUCAAAAUUCUCUGACAGCAAGGAAAAGACAAAUUUGAUUCUUAA